rnacentral:rRNA from 1 species
UACGAGGGGGGCGAGCGUUGUUCGGAAUUACUGGGCGUAAAGAGUGCGUAGGCGGUUCUUGAAGUCCGCUGUGAAAGCCCCGGGCUUAACCUGGGAAUGGCAGUGGAAACUGGAGGACUUGAAUUGAGCAGAGGGGGGUGGAAUGCCGCGUGUAGCAGUGAAAUGCGUAGAGAUGCGGCGGAACACCGAUGGCGAAGGCAGCCCCCUGGGCUUAAAUUGACGCUGAGGCACGAAAGCGUGGGGAGCAAACAGG